rnacentral:tRNA from 1 species
GGUAUCGUGGUAUAGUGGUUCAUUCACUUGACUCUCAAUCCAAGGGUUGAGGGUUCGAGUCCCAAACCGACACCA